rnacentral:rRNA from 1 species
UAAACGAUGUCAACUAGCUGUUGGGGCCUUUGGGCCUUAGUAGCGCAGCUAACGCGUGAAGUUGACCGCCUGGGGAGUACGGUCGCAAGAUUAAAACUCAAAGGAAUUGACGGGGACCCGCACAAGCGGUGNAUGAUGUGGAUUAAUUAGAUGCAACGCGAAAAACCUUACCUACCCUUNUCAUGUCUGGAAUCCCGAAGAGAUUUGGGAGUGCUCGCAAGAGAACCGGAACACAGGCAUGGCAUUGCUGUCGUCAGCUCGUGUCGUGAGAUGUUGGGUUAAGUCCCGCAACGAGCCCAACCCUUGUCAUUAGUUCNUANGAAAGGGCACUCUAAUGAGACUGCCGGUGACAAACCGGAGGAAGGUGGGGAUGACGUCAAGUCAUCAUGCCCCUUAUGGGUNGGGCUUCACANNUCAUACAAUGGUCGGGACAGAGAGUNGCCAACCCGCGAGGGGGAGCCA